rnacentral:lncRNA from 1 species
GCGCUAUGCUACAGGGGCUUAUUCUAUAUAAGUUAAAAAAAUUCUAUGACUAAAAAAUAAAAUGGGAUCCUAAGAUCAAUCUUUAGCGAUUCCUUGUAAAGACCUACCCGACCCUGAUGAGAAAGAGCUAUUCGCUCCCUGGGAAUGGCGACCUCCAAUUUAUACUCAACCGGCACUUGGUAAUUUCCAUCUAAUAACCUCUAAGUCC